rnacentral:tRNA from 1 species
UAGAUUGAAGCCAGUUGAUUAGGGUAUUUAGCUGUUAAAUUUGCAUUCAAUUGAUGUAGGAUGAGUCCUGCAGUCCUU